GACGUAGGGCGCGAGCGUUGUCCGGAUUUAUUGGGCGUAAAGAGCUCGUAGGCGGUCUGUUGCGUCCGCUGUGAAAGCUCGGGGCUUAACCCCGAGCCUGCAGUGGAUACGGGCAGACUAGAGGUAGGUAGGGGAGAAUGGAAUUCCCGGUGUAGCGGUGAAAUGCGCAGAUAUCGGGAGGAACACCGGUGGCGAAGGCGGUUCUCUGGGCCUUACCUGACGCUGAGGAGCGAAAGCGUGGGGAGCGAACAGG
rnacentral:rRNA from 1 species